UAGCAGACUAUUGCUGGGCCGCAUCUCC
rnacentral:piRNA from 1 species